rnacentral:rRNA from 1 species
UACAGAGGUGGCAAGCGUUGUUCGGAAUUACUGGGCGUAAAGGGCGCGUAGGCGGCCUUCUAAGUCAGACGUGAAAUCCCCCGGCUUAACCUGGGAACUGCGUCUGAUACUGGGAGGCUAGAGUGCGGGAGAGGGAUGCGGAAUCCCAGGUGUAGCGGUGAAAUGCGUAGAUAUCUGGAGGAACACCGGUGGCGAAGGCGGCAUCCUGGACCGACACUGACGCUGAGGCGCGAAAGCUAGGGUAGCAAACGGG